CCUACGGGAGGCAGCAGUGAGGAAUAUUGGUCAAUGGACGAGAGUCUGAACCAGCCAAGUAGCGUGAAGGAUGACUGCCCUAUGGGUUGUAAACUUCUUUUAUAUAGGAAUAAAAUGUUGCACAUGUGGGUUUUUGUAUGUACCAUAUGUAUAAGGAUCGGCUAACUCCGUGCCAGCAGCCUAGGUAAUACGGAGGAUCCGAGCGUUAUCCGGAUUUAUUGGGUUUAAAGGGAGCGUAGGUGGGUGGUUAAGUCAGUUGUGAAAGUUUGCGGCUCAACCGGAAAAUUGCAGUUGAUACUGGCAGUCUUGAGUACAGUAGAGGUGAGCGGAAUUCGUGGUGUAGCGGUGAAAUGCUUAGAUAUCACGAAGAACUCCGAUUGCGAAGGCAGCUCACUGGACUGUAACUGACGCUGAGGCUCGAAAGUGUGGGUAUCAAACAGGAUUAGAUACCCGAGUAGUC
rnacentral:rRNA from 1 species